AUCUUUUCCAACCCAGUUGAUUCUGUGAUUCUGUGAAAAAAGCUCAAAGAUUUGAUAGAAAUACUAUUAAGGAUUUGGAUAUUCCUUUGUAAAGCAGCUUCAAGAAACAGCAAUGUCCAGUGAUAUGAAACUUUCAUGAAUGGCUUCAGAAAGCCUAAAAAAUGUGUGACCUACCUCUCCCUCUGUUGUUUCUCAAGACUGGACAUUGCUCUAAAGGCCAGAGUAGAAGUAGGCAUGACUUACUCAUCAAGCUUUUGAUAUGCAUGGCAGUCAGAAUGGAGAAGAGAGAUGCUCCCUUCUUUGCUCUGCUGGAGUACCUGUGGUUUGGACUUCAAUCACUGUGUACAGC